AAUCAAACCCGAUUGUCGUGGGAAUACUUUUUGUUGCGUCAUUUCGACGAGGAACGAGGAGGAAUCUGUUACAUAGUAGUAUUAAACUUAGAGAUUUCUCUCUGCGUUGGAAAUGACGGAGGACGGAACACAAAAAGAUUUUAACGGAAAGCGGGGCUACAU
rnacentral:sRNA from 1 species